CUACGGAGGGUGCGAGCGUUACUCGGAGUCACUGGGCGUAAAGCGUCCGUAGGCGGUCGGGUAAGUCGGGUGUGAAAGCCCCGGGCUCAACCUGGGAAGUGCACCCGAUACUGCUCGACUCGAGUGCGGGAGAGGAUGGCGGAAUUCCCGGUGUAGCGGUGAAAUGCGUAGAGAUCGGGAGGAACACCAGUGGCGAAGGCGGCCAUCUGGCCCGCAACUGACGCUGAGGGACGAAAGCGUGGGGAGCAAACAGGAUUAGAAACCCUAGUAGUCC
rnacentral:rRNA from 1 species